AUGACAUCCUGCCACCCCGCGCACCGCAUACACACACACACCACCACACACACACCACACACACUACACACAUUCACACCACACACACCACCACACACACACCACACACACUACACACAUUCACACCAAACACCACACACGCACACCACCAUACGCAUACGUCACCACCACACACACCACACACUACACACAUUCAAACCACACAGACACCACACACACCACACACACUACACACAUUCAUACCAAACACCACUCACACACACCACCAUACGCACACGUCACCACCACACACACCACACACUACACACAUUCACACCACACAGACACCACACACACACACCACACACACACACCACACACACUACACACAUUCACACCACACAGACACUACACACACCACCACACACACUACACACAUUCACACCACACACACCACCACACACACCAAACACACACCACACACAUUCACACCACACACACCACCACACACACACCACACACACUACACACAUUCAUACCAAACACCACUCACACACACCACCAUACGCACACGUCUCCACCCCACACACCACACACACUACACACAUUCACACCACACACACCACCACACACACACCACACACACUACACACAUUCAUACCAAACACCACUCACACACACCACCAUAUGCACACGUCACCACCACACACACCACACACUACACACAUUCACACCACACAGACACCACACACACCACCACACACACACACCACACACACUACACACAUUCACACCACACAGACACUACACACACCACCACACACACACCACACACACUACACACAUUCACACCACACACACCACCACACACACCACACACACACCACACACAUUCACACCACACACACCACCACACACACCACCACACACACACCACACACACUACACACAUUCAUACCAAACACCACUCACACACACCACCAUAUGCACAUGUCACCACCACACACACCACACACUACACACAUUCACACCAAACACCACACACGCACACCACCAUACACACGCCACCACCACACACACCACACACACACUACACACAUUCACACCACACAGACACCACACAUGCACACCACCAUAUGCACACAUCACCACCACACACACCACACACUACACACAUUCACACCACACAAACACCACACACACACAACACACAUUCACACCACACAGACACCACACACACCACCAUACACACACAUCACCACCACACACUACACACAUUCACACCACACAGACACCACACACACACACCACCAAACGCACACGUCACCACCACACACACCACACACACUACACAUUCACACCACACAGACACCACACGCACACCACCAUAUGCACACAUCACCACCACACACACACUAUGCACAUUCACACCAAACACCACACACACCACCAUACGCACGUCACCACCACACAUGCCACACACACACUACACACAUUCACACCACACAAACACCACACACACCACCAUACACACAUAUCACCACCACACACACUACACACAUUCACACCACACAAACACCACACACCACCAUACACACACAUCACCACCACACACACUACACACAUUCACACCACACAAACACCACACACACACACGACCAUAUGCACACGUCACCAGCAUGCACACACUGUGCACAUUCACACCACACAAACACCACACAUACACACACCACCAUACGCACAUGUCACCACCACACACACACUACACACAUUCACAUCACACACCACACAUACACCACACAUACACACACCACCAUACACACAUGUCACCACCACACACACACCACACACACACUACACAUUCACACCACACGCCACACAUACACACGCCACCAUACACACAUGUCACCACCACACACACACCAAGCACACACUACACACAUUCACACCACACACACACACCACCAUACGCACAUGUCACCACCACACACCACACACACACUGCACACUACACACAUUCACACUAUACGAACACUACACACACACACACACACCCCACCAUAG
ensembl:lncRNA